GAUGAACGCUAGCGGGAGGCCUAACACAUGCAAGCCGAGCGGUAUUUCUUCUUCGGGAGAGAGAGAGCGGCGUACGGGUGCGGAUCACGUGUGCAACCUGCCUUUAUCUAGGGGAUAGCCUUUCGAAAGGAAGAUUAAUACUCUAUAAUAUAUUAAUUGGCAUCAAUUGAUAUUGAAAACUCCGGUGGAUAGAGAUGGGCACGCGCAAGAUUAGCUAGUUGGUGAGGUAACGGCUCACCAAGGCAAUGAUCUUUAGGGGGCCUGAGAGGGUGAUCCCCCACACUGGUACUGAGACACGGACCAGACUCCUACGGGAGGCAGCAGUGAGGAAUAUUGGUCAAUGGGUGCAAGCCUGAACCAGCCAUCCCGCGUGAAGGAUUAAGGUCCUAUGGAUUGUAAACUUCUUUUGUAUAGGGAUAAACCUACCCUCGUGAGGGUAGCUGAAGGUACUAUACGAAUAAGCACCGGCUAACUCCGUGCCAGCCGCCGCGGUAAAAC
rnacentral:rRNA from 1 species